rnacentral:rRNA from 1 species
UACGUAGGGUGCAAGCGUUGUCCGGAAUUAUUGGGCGUAAAGAGCUCGUAGGCGGUCUGUCGCGUCGGAUGUGAAAAUCCAGGGCUCAACCCUGGACCUGCAUUCGAUACGGGCAGACUAGAGUUCGGCAGGGGAGACUGGAAUUCCUGGUGUAGCGGUGAAAUGCGCAGAUAUCAGGAGGAACACCGGUGGCGAAGGCGGGUCUCUGGGCCGAAACUGACGCUUAGGAGCGAAAGCGUGGGGAGCAAACAGG